AGCUCUCGCUAUUAGAUGAGCCUAAGUCGGAUUAGCUGGUUGGUGGGGUAAAGGCCUACCAAGGCGACGAUCUGUAGCUGGUCUGAGAGGAUGAUCAGCCACACUGGGACUGAGACACGGCCCAGACUCCUACGGGAGGCAGCAGUGGGGAAUAUUGGACAAUGGGCGAAAGCCUGAUCCAGCCAUGCCGCGUGUGUGAAGAAGGCCUUUUGGUUGUAAAGCACUUUAAGUGGGGAGGAAAAGCUUAUGGUUAAUACCCAUAAGCCCUGACGUUACCCACAGAAUAAGCACCGGCUAACUCUGUGCCAGCAGCCGCGGUAAUACAGAGGGUGCAAGCGUUAAUCGGAAUUACUGGGCGUAAAGCGCGCGUAGGUGGUUAUUUAAGUCAGAUGUGAAAGCCCCGGGCUUAACCUGGGAACUGCAUCUGAUACUGGAUAACUAGAGUAGGUGAGAGGGGAGUAGAAUUCCAGGUGUAGCGGUGAAAUGCGUAGAGAUCUGGAGGAAUACCGAUGGCGAAGGCAGCUCCCUGGCAUCAUACUGACACUGAGGUGCGAAAGCGUGGGUAGCAAACAGGAUUAGAUACCCUGGUAGUCCACGCCGUAAACGAUGUCUACCAGUCGUUGGGUCUUUUAAAGGCUUAGUGACGCAGUUAACGCAAUAAGUAGACCGCCU
rnacentral:rRNA from 1 species